rnacentral:rRNA from 1 species
AUUGAACGCUGGCGGCAUGCUUUACACAUGCAAGUCGAACGGUAACAGGGAGCUUGCUCCGCUGACGAGUGGCGAACGGGUGAGUAAUAUAUCGGAACGUACCCAGAAGUGGGGGAUAACGUAGCGAAAGUUACGCUAAUACCGCAUACGAUCCACGGAUGAAAGUAGGGGACCUUCGGGCCUUAUGCUUUUGGCGCGGCCGAUAUCUGAUUAGCUAGUUGGUGAGGUAAAGGCUCACCAAGGCGACGAUCAGUAGCUGGUCUGAGAGGACGACCAGCCACACUGGAACUGAGACACGGUCCAGACUCCUACGGGAGGCAGCAGUGGGGAAUUUUGGACAAUGGGCGCAAGCCUGAUCCAGCAAUGCCGCGUGAGUGAAGAAGGCCUUCGGGUUGUAAAGCUCUUUUGUCAGGGAAGAAACGGGAGUGGCUAAUAUCCAUUCUUAAUGACGGUACCUGAAGAAUAAGCACCGGCUAACUACGUGCCAGCCGCCGCGGUAA